AACCCAUGCUGAGGAUAUUUUCGCAGGAGAUCCUUUGAACCUAUCUCAUGUCUCAAAAAGAGACUCCAAUUGCAUGUGCAUAAAAGAGGAUAUUUCAUUCAUGAGCUU